rnacentral:rRNA from 1 species
CAGUCGCCGCGGUAAUACGGAGGGAGCUAGCGUUAUUCGGAAUUACUGGGCGUAAAGCGCACGUAGGCGGCUUUGUAAGUUAGAGGUGAAAGCCUGGAGCUCAACUCCAGAAUUGCCUUUAAGACUGCAUCGCUUGAAUCCAGGAGAGGUGAGUGGAAUUCCGAGUGUAGAGGUGAAAUUCGUAGAUAUUCGGAAGAACACCAGUGGCGAAGGCGGCUCACUGGACUGGUAUUGACGCUGAGGUGCGAAAGCGUGGGGAGCAAACAGGAUUAGAUACCCGCGUAGUCCCUGUCUCUUAUAC